rnacentral:rRNA from 1 species
UACAGAGGGUGCAAGCGUUAAUCGGAAUUACUGGGCGUAAAGCGUGCGUAGUCGGUUAUUUAAGUCGGGUGUGAAAGCCCCGGGCUCAACCUGGGAAUUGCAUUCGAUACUGGAUAGCUAGAGUUCGGCAGAGGGAAGCGGAAUUUCCGGUGUAGCGGUGAAAUGCGUAGAUAUCUGGAGGAACACCGGUGGCGAAGGCGGCAUCCUGGACCGGCAUUGACGCUGAGGAGCGAAAGCCAGGGGAGCAAACGGG